UAAAGGGUGUGUAGACGGCUUAGCAAGUUCGCUGUUAAAUCCUCCGGCCUAACUGGAGUUCAGCAGUGGAAACUGUUUUGCUAGAGAGUGGAAGAGAGAAGUGGAAUUCCCGGAGUAGCGGUAAAAUGCGUAGAUCUCGGGAGGAACACCAAUGGCGAAGGCAGCUUCUUGGUCCAUUUCUGACGUUGAGACACGAAAGCGUGGGUAGCAAACAGGAUUAGAUACCCUGGUAGUCCACGCCGUAAACGAUGAUCACUAGAUGUUGGUUUGGCUUAGCUGAAUCAGUAUCGUAGCUAACGCGUUAAGUGAUCCGCCUGGGGAUUACGGUCGCAAGACUAAAACUCAAAGGAAUUGACGGGGGUCCGCACAAGCGGUGGAACAUGUGGUUUAAUUCGAUACUACGCGAGGAACCUUACCUGGAUUUGACAUGUUUUUGAUCGUCAUAGAGAUAUGGCUUUCCAAGUUUACUUGGACAAUUACACAGGUGCUGCAUGGCU
rnacentral:rRNA from 1 species